rfam:Epulopiscium sp. Nuni2H_MBin001 Nuni2HMBin001_39, whole genome shotgun sequence.
UUCAUUGAGAGUUUGAUCCUGGCUCAGGAUGAACGCUGGCGGCGUGCUUAACACAUGCAAGUCGAACGGACUACUUCGGUAGUUAGUGGCGGACG